rnacentral:snoRNA from 2 species
GAUCAGUUGAUGAGGUAAUACUGCAACAAUAUGAUGGAGAAAUCUUUGUGAUUCUUAGUAUUUAAGUCUCUGAUGAUC